rnacentral:rRNA from 1 species
GAUGAACGCUGGCGGCGUGCUUAACACAUGCAAGUCGAACGAUGAAGCCCAGCUUGCUGGGUGGAUUAGUGGCGAACGGGUGAGUAACACGUGAGUGACCUGCCCUUAACUCUGGGAUAAGCCUGGGAAACUGGGUCUAAUACCGGAUAGGAGCGUCCACCGCAUGGUGGGUGUUGGAAAGAUUUAUCGGUUUUGGAUGGACUCGCGGCCUAUCAGCUUGUUGGUGAGGUAAUGGCUCACCAAGGCGACGACGGGUAGCCGGCCUGAGAGGGUGACCGGCCACACUGGGACUGAGACACGGCCCAGACUCCUACGGGAGGCAGCAGUGGGGAAUAUUGCACAAUGGGCGCAAGCCUGAUGCAGCGACGCCGCGUGAGGGAUGACGGCCUUCGGGUUGUAAACCUCUUUCAGUAGGGAAGAAGCGAAAGUGACGGUACCUGCAGAAGAAGCACCGGCUAACUACGUG